GUGCUUGUGGUGUAGUGGUUAUCACAUCCGCUUCACACGUGGAUGGCGCCAGGUUCGAUCCCUUGCAGGCACA
rnacentral:tRNA from 1 species